UCUCUCUCUCUCCAAAGAAAUAAGCUUUAAAAAAUAAAUAAAUAAAUGUUCUUCCUUUCACAAGACUUCGCCUUAGAAGGUGGUUCCCUUCUAAUGCCCUUUCUGGGUAAGAUACAAAGUGGCUAUUGCCCCUCUAAUUAUUCUUUUUUUUUUUUUUUCACUGCCCUAUCAAAUCCCAAAUCUGGAGACCAAUCUCUCAGUGUGUUCGUUGCCUGGACCGGAGUAUCGGCGCAGCACCUGGAAAUGGCCCGUUAUGUACGUCUCCCCUAUAAACUACCCAAGGUUUUUUCCACACGGGAUGUUUCCGCCCUCCUCCGCCAGCUCUGGAAAACCAAGGCUCUGCAAAGUAUUUCACGUUGACUCCAAGGAAGACACAGAGGACACUUUGGCUCAAGCCAACAAGUGAGAAGAGGCUAGCUUUGUUUUGCUUUGUUUUGAAGGCUGCACGACAGAAUCUACAAAUUCGGCGUAUUUCAGACGAGCGUGCUUCUUCUGACUUGAAUUCUCCAGAUACUUCUCUGAAAUUUUAGCUUCACUUUGCAUGGAUAAUUACCGCCUCCAGCUGUUCGGAGAGCAAAUCUCAAGGAAGUGGAAACCUCUCCCAACCCCGACCCUCAUGCAAAUCAAGUGGGUUUGCUCGCCAGUCAUCCUCAACUGUAGCCUGAAUCCUUUUGAAUGAAGAAUCCAUUUUGGAAUUA